UACGUAGGGGGCAAGCGUUGUCCGGAUUUAUUGGGCGUAAAGCGCGUGUAGGCGGCCAGAAAAGUCCGCUGUGAAAACUCGAGGCUCAACUUCGAGCUGUCGGUGGAAACUUUCUGGCUAGAGUCCGGAAGAGGAGAAUGGAAUUCCUGGUGUAGCGGUGAAAUGCGCAGAUAUCAGGAAGAACACCCGUGGCGAAGGCGGCUUUCUGGACAGAUACCGACGCUGAGGCACGAAAGCUAGGGGAGCAAACAGG
rnacentral:rRNA from 1 species